rnacentral:rRNA from 1 species
AGUGAACGCUGGCGGUAGGCCUAACACAUGCAAGUCGAACGGCAGCACAGUAAGAGCUUGCUCUUACGGGUGGCGAGUGGCGGACGGGUGAGGAAUACAUCGGAAUCUACUUUUUCGUGGGGGAUAACGUGGGGAAACUUCCGCUAAUACCGCAUACGACCUCCGGGUGAAGGCAGGGGAUCUUCGGACCUUGCGCGAUUGAUUGAGCCGAUGUCGGAUUAGCUAGUUGGCGGGGUAAAGGCCCACCAAGGCGACGAUCCGUAGCUGGUCUGAGAGGAUGAUCAGCCACACUGGAACUGAGACACGGUCCAGACUCCUACGGGAGGCAGCAGUGGGGAAUAUUGGACAAUGGGCGCAAGCCUGAUCCAGCCAUACCGCGUGGGUGAAGAAGGCCUUCGGGUUGUAAAGCCCUCUUGUUGGGAAAGAAAAGCAGCAGGUUAAUACCCCGCUGUUCUGACGGUACCCAAAGAAUAAGCACCGGCUAACUUCGUG